rnacentral:lncRNA from 1 species
CUCUUUCUUCCCGAGUCUCGGCCAGGUCUGAGGUGAAGCAGGAAGGCCCCAUACGGGGUGGCUAGGAAUGCCCUGUGUGGACUCCCAGGGGUCCAGUGACUUCCCUAAGACCACCAGGCAAGGUGGGGGUAGACCGAGUCCCAGUUCCUUCUGCCCACACUGUGUGCAAACCCUCUACUUCUGCCCACAAGGGCUAUAAUCUCCUAUCCCUUGAUGGUCUCAAUGACCUCUGCCCAGAUUUCUGAUGGGAAAACCAAGGGACGGAGAAGAAAAGCGACUUGCCCAUGUCUCAUGGCCCCAGGAACUCAAAAUCGAGGCGAGAUCUUUCUCAUCCGGGCUGCUUCUCCCAGCCCAAGAACAAAGCUGGACACGACAGGCUCAGGGGGAAAGAAGUGAGAGGAAGGCUGGAGCAGAGGAAGCGAGAACCCUCCAGAGAUGCGGAGCUGGACAGUUUUGCAGCUGUGCUGGUACCUGGAGCCUGGGCAGGCUGGGAGUCCUGCUUAACCCCACAGCCUGCAUGCUGGCACCAAGUGGGGGUCAAACCUAGGGCCUUCUGCUCCCAGGACAUAAGUCCCCCUCACUAUUCGGAUCUGCUGGAAGAACCAGAAUCCCAGCAGAAGUGCUGAGUCAUGUGGGGGAGUUUGCUGGCAUAACUUCUCCCCACCUGCACCCAAGGCAUUGUUGAGAAAAGAAAGUCUGCUGCCACCUAAGAGACCCAGAAUCAGAACAACGGUGUGAUCUGAACAAGAUGAAGGGGUGGUUUCAUGAUAAGAAUAAACUACAAGCUUCUUCUGCUCCUUCUAGAGAUGCUCAAGAAGACUAUGGGAUAAAGCCACUUAUCUCAACUGAUAAAGGUAUAGAGCUGAGGAUGCCUGAUCUUUGCUUACUGCUCCCCUGGCCCCAUCCUAAAGAAGGGCCCCACCAGUGAACUUAUGGACCCAUGGAACCAUUCCCACUGAGCAAGAAAUAUGAGACUGAAAGUGGACUCCAAGAUGUCAUGGCUCUUAUACUCUGUUGUGUCUACAGAACCUGAGACUGUGUCUAGCACUC